rnacentral:other from 1 species
UGAGUCCUGAUGUGUACGUUAGGAAGCCUGAACGUUUUGACCGAACAAAUAGAACUACGGGAGCUCGGAGUUUUUAAGUAGCGUACAUGCCUCUAUGCGCGAGGACGUAUUAAACUUAAAACAGAGCACCCACCUGCUGAGAGCGGGUUCAAAACGUAGGAUCACCAACGGCACGAUUGGGGCUCAU